rnacentral:rRNA from 1 species
AGAGUUUGAUCCUGGCUCAGAAUCAACGCUGGCGGCGUGCCUAACACAUGCAAGUCGAACGCGAAAGGGGCUUCGGCCCUGAGUAGAGUGGCGAACGGGUGAGUAACACGUGGGUGACCUACCUUCGAAUGGGGGAUAACGUCCCGAAAGGGACGCUAAUACCGCAUAACAUCUUGCCUUUGAACAGGUGGAGAUCAAAGCUGGGGAUCGCAAGACCUGGCGUUUGAAGAAGGGCCCGCGUCCGAUUAGCUAGUUGGUGAGGUAAUGGCUCACCAAGGCAACGAUCGGUAGCCGGCCUGAGAGGGCGGACGGCCACACUGGGACUGAGACACGGCCCAGACUCCUACGGGAGGCAGCAGUGGGGAAUUGUUCGCAAUGGGCGCAAGCCUGACGACGCAACGCCGCGUGGAGGAUGAAGGUCUUCGGAUUGUAAACUCCUGUUGCCCGGGACGAAAUGCUUCGACCUAACACGUCGAAGUUUGACGGUACCGGGUGAGGAAGCCCCGGCUAACUCUGUGCCAGCCGCCGCGGUAAUAC